rnacentral:lncRNA from 1 species
ACAGAACCCGUCCACGAACCUUCAUUAAGCACUUGAAUGCCUCCAGUGAUGGGGCACUCAUUUCUCUCCUCUGGAAUCAUCAGCUCGACGACUGGACCACUCUGAAAGUCAGGAAGCUAAGUUCUUCACCCCGUGGACCCCCAUCUUUCUUGCCUACAUGUUGGACUUAUGCUAUCACACUAAAAUAUGAGGGAUGGAUCUGUCACCCCACCCUUCCCAGCACACGGUGGCCCUUCAGGGCCCACCUUAGUGCAUGCUUUCUCCAGGAGCUCUCUCCAAGUGAGGCUGCUGCAUGCAACCUGGGCUCCGAGUGAACUCUUUCUCCAGCAUUCUGGUGGUCUGGGACCUGGUGAAGGACUACACCCCACCCUGGAGCUGUUCCCUGGCUGGCCUGUCCAUGACUGUGUCUUCUAUGAGCUGCCCAGGCAGAGGAGGAGUAAGGGAUGGACUUAGUCCUGUAGCCUCCAGUGUAGGAAGACAGAGAAGAGACAAAAGGUAAUGCAAUGGGCCCUCCAUGCUUUCCUGUAUGCUCAGAUUCAGGAGAUGGGAAGGGAAGAAGUGAGAGAAGACGAAGGAAGAAAUGCUCAGAGAAUGAAAAGGAGGGACUGGGACUCAGCCUUCAACACAACUGAAGACCAUGCUUCAAGGCUUUCUGUGGCUAGCUCCUGACUAUAUAACCCCAUGCACAACACAGGCUCCUCCUGGAAAACCUUUGAAGUUCACCUCUCCUAGGCAACUUUUCUUGGCUGGUCUCCUCCUCUCUGCUGCUCCCUGAGCUGCACAGCUCUUCCUUGGCCAUAAGUCCUAGGCUAUGAUUCUCAUUUAUGCUCAGAAAUUAGACUGCUUUGCACUAUUUUUCUUUUAUCAGCUUCAGGGAGCAGUUUGAGAUAUAUUUGCAGUUAUUUUAAUUUUUAGAUUUUUUACACAUACUUGUGUGUAUGUGUGCGUGCGCGCAUGAUAUGCUUAUAGAGGUCGGAGGACAACUUUUGGAGCCAUUUUUCUUCUUCAGUCAUAUGGGUUCCAGGUAUAGAACUCAGGUCAUCGGGCUUGGUGGCAAGCACCUUUACCCACUGAGCCAUCUCACUGUUCCCCUCCCAUUGUGAUCCUUAAAUUUGUGUUUUUAUGUUUAUUUAUUCUUGUGGUCCUGAGGAUUGAAUCUAGCACCUCUUAGAUGCUAGACAAGUACCCAGCACUUAGACAAUUCCCACCUGUGUGUGCACACACCUAUGUAUAUACAUUGUAUGUAUAUACAAAUCGUUUUUAUUUUAUGUGCACGAAUGUUUUGCCUACGUGUAUUCUUGUGCACUGCAUGUAUGUCUAGUGCUCAUGGAAGCUAGAAGAAAGUGUUGGAUCCUCUGAAAAUGUUGUAAGUCACCAUGUGGGUACUGAGAACCAAACCUGGGUCCUCUGCAAGAGCAGCUAAUGGUCUUAACCACCGAGGCAUCUCUUCAGCCCCCGCAUACUUAUCUUAAACUCUGUUUGUAUGUGAAACAAUCUUAAGACAAGACAGUAUAAUGCUAUACCCAUAUCUGCAUAGCUCAUUCUGGGGACACAUAGCUGAUCCUAGUCUCCACUCCACUAGCUUGCAAUCUAGUGAGUGGUGCCAGAUAUGUGUGACGCGAGAGCUGGGCAUGUCUUAUGGAGGGUGUAACUGCACGGAUGCGAGCUGAAAGACAAGCAGGAGUCCCUAAACAGCAGGGAAGAUGCUUGGGGUGGGAGGAAGCAGGACACAACAGCUUGGAGAGGUAAAUGGGUGAGGAGGGGCCUCUCAGUGUGGCUGGCGGCUAGGUAGGACAAGACAUUGUUCUGAACCCAAUGGGCAUUCCCACCCCCAACCUUUCUAGUUACCACUUAGAAAUCAAUACCCAAAUCAAUGCCAUUAUGAUUCUAUUUACACGAAGUUCCAGAAAAGAUAAAAUUUUCCCACAAUGAUAGACAUGGGAGUAAUUAUUGCCUUUGAAGGUUGGAGGUUUAAUGAAGCAUGUCACAUCUCUCAUUGUUUUAUUUUUUUUUAGACGUGGGAAGAAAUUUACUCUUCUGAUUCCAUAAAAACAAUUCUACCAAUAUUAAAGCAGUAUUGUAUAUAUACACUGU